ACGAACGCUGGCGGCACGCUUAACACAUGCAAGUCGAACGAGAGAAGAGAAGCUUGCUUUUCUGAUCUAGUGGCGGACGGGUGAGUAACACGUGAGCAAUCUGCCUUUCAGAGGGGGAUACCGAUUGGAAACGAUCGUUAAUACCGCAUAACAUAAUUGAACCGCAUGAUUUGAUUAUCAAAGAUUUAUCGCUGAAAGAUGAGCUCGCGUCUGAUUAGCUAGUUGGUAAGGUAACGGCUUACCAAGGCGACGAUCAGUAGCCGGACUGAGAGGUUGAUCGGCCACAUUGGGACUGAGACACGGCCCAGACUCCUACGGGAGGCAGCAGUGGGGAAUAUUGCACAAUGGAGGAAACUCUGAUGCAGCGAUGCCGCGUGAGGGAAGAAGGUUUUAGGAUUGUAAACCUCUGUCUUCAGGGAAGAAAAAAGACGGUACCUGAGGAGGAAGCUCCGGCUAACUACGUGCCAGCAGCCGCGGUAAUACGUAGGGAGCGAGCGUUGUCCGGAAUUACUGGGUGUAAAGGGAGCGUAGGCGGGAUCGCAAGUCAGAUGUGAAAACUAUGGGCUUAACCCAUAAACUGCAUUUGAAACUGUGGUUCUUGAGUGAAGUAGAGGUAAGCGGAAUUCCUAGUGUAGCGGUGAAAUGCGUAGAUAUUAGGAGGAACAUCAGUGGCGAAGGCGGCUUACUGGGCUUUAACUGACGCUGAGGCUCGAAAGCGUGGGGAGCAAACAGGAUUAGAUACCCUGGUAGUCCACGCCGUAAACGAUGAUUACUAGGUGUGGGGGGACUGACCCCUUCCGUGCCGCAGCAAACGCAAUAAGUAAUCCACCUGGGGAGUACGACCGCAAGGUUGAAACUCAAAGGAAUUGACGGGGGCCCGCACAAGCAGUGGAGUAUGUGGAUUAAUUCGAAGCAACGCGAAGAACCUUACCAGGUCUUGACAUCGUAUGCAUAGCUCAGAGAUGAGUGAAAUCUCUUCGGAGACAUAUAGACAGGUGGUGCAUGGUUGUCGUCAGCUCGUGUCGUGAGAUGUUGGGUUAAGUCCCGCAACGAGCGCAACCCUUACUGUUAGUUGCUACGCAAGAGCACUCUAGCAGGACUGCCGUUGACAAAACGGAGGAAGGUGGGGAUGACGUCAAAUCAUCAUGCCCCUUAUGACCUGGGCCUCACACGUACUACAAUGGCUGUCAACAGAGGGAAGCAAAGCCGCGAGGUGGAGCGAACCCCUAAAAGCAGUCUUAGUUCGGAUUGUAGGCUGCAACCCGCCUACAUGAAGUCGGAAUUGCUAGUAAUCGCAGAUCAGCAUGCUGCGGUGAAUACGUUCCCGGGCCUUGUACACACCGCCCGUCACGCCAUGGGAGUCGGUAACACCCGAAGCCUGUAGUCUAACCGCAAGGAGGACGCAGUCGAAGGUGGGAUUGAUGACUGGGGUG
rnacentral:rRNA from 1 species